ACACAUACAAGCUUUCCGGAAAAUUGCCGGCAAUUUUGCGUUAAAGGUCUGUAUGUGUGAAAGGGGGUAGAAUCUCUAUGUAUCUCAGGCCCCGUUUACACUAGUGCGUUUUAGUUUUAAAACGGCGUUUUAGAUCAAAAACGAUCCGCGUCCACACUAGCGUUUCUGAACAUAUCUCCGUCCACACUACGCCACAAAACCGUAUAUCACGUGACCAUUCGCGCACUCUGGGCAUGCACGUAUUUUGUGGACAGACGACGAGGUCGAGUUGUUACUAAACGUAACGAAUAACUGCACAAUGGCGCCUAAAACAGACACUAGUGCAAACAACGCUCCCAUUUCUGUGCCCAUGUUGUUGUUUACAGUGAAGGCUGGUCUGCUGUCUUCCGCUAGCGUUAAAGCCAUGUGUUUUAGUCAUGUGAUAGGGGCUUGAGAAUAAGGGAAGGAUACGCAAUGAUACAAAAGCCUCAAUCAGGUAGCGAAUCUCAGCAGCCCCGCCUCCGUUUCCAGAUGUCUCCCUUUCCCCCAUCCACACUGAGAUGGAGCAGCAGCAUUUCAGAAUGAAAACAGCCUCUCCAGCGUUUCCAAAAUGCUCCGUUUUCAGUGUUCGUAAACUCCGGUGUAGUGUGGACGGAUGGUGUAACCUUAGCCAAACAUAUGCGUUUUAAAACGAAAACACAUUAGUGUAAACGGGGUCUCAGUAUCUCUAUGUGUUUA
rnacentral:lncRNA from 1 species